rnacentral:rRNA from 1 species
AUCACUUAUGAAACGACUCUCGGCAACGGAUAUCUCGGCUCUCGCAUCGAUGAAGAACGUAGCGAAAUGCGAUACUUGGUGUGAAUUGCAGAAUCCCGCGAACCAUCGAGUUUUUGAACGCAAGUUGCGCCCGAAGCCGUCAGGCCAAGGGCACGCCUGCC